GAUGAACGCUAGCGGCAGGCCUAAUACAUGCAAGCCGAACGGCAAGCUUUGUAGCAAUACGGAGCCUAGAGUGGCGUAAGGGUGCGUAACACGUAUGCAAUCUACCCUCAACAGGAGAAUAGCUCCCCGAAAGGGGAAUUAAUGUUCCAUAGGAUCAUGGUGCGGCAUCGCACAGUGAUUAAACCGCAAGGGGUUGAGGAUGAGCAUGCGCAUGGUUAGUUAGUUGGCGGGGUAACGGCCCACCAAGACGAUGAUCAUUAGGGGAACUGAGAGGUUGA
rnacentral:rRNA from 1 species